CACAUGCAAGUCGGACGGUAGCACAGAGAGCUUGCUCUCGGGUGACGAGUGGCGGACGGGUGAGUAAUGUCUGGGGAUCUGCCCGAUAGAGGGGGAUAACCACUGGAAACGGUGGCUAAUACCGCAUAACGUCGCAAGACCAAAGAGGGGGACCUUCGGGCCUCUCACUAUCGGAUGAACCCAGAUGGGAUUAGCUAGUAGGCGGGGUAAUGGCCCACCUAGGCGACGAUCCCUAGCUGGUCUGAGAGGAUGACCAGCCACACUGGAACUGAGACACGGUCCAGACUCCUACGGGAGGCAGCAGUGGGGAAUAUUGCACAAUGGGCGCAAGCCUGAUGCAGCCAUGCCGCGUGUAUGAAGAAGGCCUUCGGGUUGUAAAGUACUUUCAGCGGGGAGGAAGGCGACGGGGUUAAUAACCGCGUCGAUUGACGUUACCCGCAGAAGAAGCACCGGCUAACUCCGUGCCAGCAGCCGCGGUAAUACGGAGGGUGCAAGCGUUAAUCGGAAUUACUGGGCGUAAAGCGCACGCAGGCGGUCUGUUAAGUCAGAUGUGAAAUCCCCGGGCUUAACCUGGGAACUGCAUUUGAAA
rnacentral:rRNA from 1 species